UGAAGGCUCAAAACAGUCCAACAGGCAGCACGGCAGAGAGAUAGGCACACAGCCAAAUACCGGUAACUGAUACACAGGACUGGAAACGAGAGCUAACGCUAUCCAGGACUUAACAGUUCUACUGGAGCGAACACAAGACGUAGGACAAACUUAGACACUGACUACGACAAGGAUCCGACGAGGAACACAGACAACAGCUGACCUCACGUGUUUCACUACCAGUUCCUGAGGCUUCAUGUUGCGUUCUGACGUUGGCUCCUGCUGCCUUCAGGUCGCCCUCCUGCAGUCCGUGCCUCGCCUAGGCUUCAUCCCCAAACUACUUAUUUGUGCUUUUGUACCUGGCCCUCCUUGCAAGGAACUGUCUCAGAAGGAGCAGGAUUGUACUUUAGUACUUUGCCUUGGCAUUAUUUGAUUUUUACACUUUGAAUCUUUGCACUCUUUACGUUUGAAUAUGCAUAUUUUGUCAACCUGGUUUGUUUUGCAUACUGUCUUUACUUUUUGUUUUAAGUGUUCCCUACUUUUUUGGAUCCCUUGUCAUCCUAGCCACGGUUGGGUUUAAUCAUGCUUUGUUUAAUUACUUUGCUGAUCUACUUUCUCUUGCUUUAUCAUUUUAGACUCAGACAUCUUGCUUGUUCUAUUGUCAGUGUUUUGUCUUCAAGAGAUCCUGGGAAAGACGAGUGUCAAUCAGGCACUUAGCAGAUGUUAUCCAUCAGAAGUUCUGCGUUUCUUUUUCAUUUGUUACAUGUAUUAAGUUAAAAAUCAAAACUUGACAUUUUGAGAAAUACCAUAUAUAUUGUUUAUUCAUACUUUAUUAAAAAUAGGUUACAAAAAGCAAUAUAUACAAAUCUCUUCCAAGCUUCACAAAAGCAGAUGUUUAUGUGCAGACCGUCAUAUUUUCUUCCCACUUCCAUAUAUGUGGGUAUUAAGACAUGUCAGGUUCUUAAUUACAUCAAGAGAAAAUAGCAUCUAUACAUAUAUAUAUAUCUGGUGCUUUCCUUUUUAUGCAAACCACGACACAAAUUGACCAAAAAAAAAAAAAAAAAUUAACUCAACUUUAUUUGUCGAACAAAAUCUAAAAUGUUUCACAUCUGAAAAUUACUGAUAUGUCCGGCAUAAAACAAACAUGGACAAAAAUACAUCCUUAAAUUGUCUCUCAAUAAAAAGGUAGCAUAGGAGCAUAAAUAAAAACUCCUUAAUUAAGUGCUAAAUUGAUAAAUAUAGAAACAAACAAUUUAUCCCCACAAUCUGAUUAUGCAACAAACCAAGAUGCAUUGUGAAUAUGAAGGCAUACAUUCAUAUACUUCUAUUUACAUUUUCAGGUUAUUAGAACAUAAAGUAGCAUUAAAAUUCAAAUGAAACCAGGAGGGAGUGUGGUGAUUUUUAACUCUUACUGUCAAGGCACCAAUCACGUUCGCUUGUGCCGGAAUAAAGCAACCAAGGUAAAAGUCCUGUUGGGGUCAAUUCCCCAAAAAUGGCAAAGUUUGUGGCAAUAAAACACUGACACACUCAUUUCUUCUGGUCAUGUUACACUUUCAGUUGCAUUAGAAAUACUAGGCUGGUGAUUAAAAACUUCUCUGGUUCAAAGUGUGCAACAGAGACGGUUACAAAUACAUUCUGAACCAUCACAUUUCUUUUUUUUUUUUUUAGUUACAU